rnacentral:lncRNA from 1 species
GUCUGUUCGAGGCGCCAGUUGGGUCUGCGCGCUGGGGCCCUGCAGACGCCCUGAACCUCUAGCCGGCCUGCCUCCCUAUCUGCCCGCCACUCGCCGGUCGGGUCGGGUUCCUGCGCGCCCAAAGGUCCUGGGAAGCCGUGCCAGGGAGUCUCGGUGCCCUCGGACCCUUGUCUGCGGCUCCGGCUUUGGGAAGGGGCUACGGCCGCGGUGUUCUCGGGCGGUUGCUCUCCCGGAAAGAAUCCGCGUCCUCCCCACCCAACCGUCAUUCCAGCUCUGGAGGCCUGUACUCUGAAAGGUGCUAGAAACAAAGCGUGUGAGUGUGAUCCGGACUCCAGAGCCCCUAACCCACCACCACCAUGGUAGGAAAAGGUGCCAAAGGGAUGCUGGUCACGGCUCUUCACUGCCCACUGCCUCAGAGCACAGGAGAGGUGGUGCGAAGCAGAG